rnacentral:rRNA from 1 species
AUUGAACGCUGGUGGCAGGCCUAACACAUGCAAGUCGAGCGGAUGAAGGGAGCUUGCUCCUGGAUUCAGCGGCGGACGGGUGAGUAAUGCCUAGGAAUCUGCCUGGUAGUGGGGGAUAACGUCCGGAAACGGGCGCUAAUACCGCAUACGUCCUGAGGGAGAAAGUGGGGGAUCUUCGGACCUCACGCUAUCAGAUGAGCCUAGGUCGGAUUAGCUAGUUGGUGGGGUAAAGGCCUACCAAGGCGACGAUCCGUAACUGGUCUGAGAGGAUGAUCAGUCACACUGGAACUGAGACACGGUCCAGACUCCUACGGGAGGCAGCAGUGGGGAAUAUUGGACAAUGGGCGAAAGCCUGAUCCAGCCAUGCCGCGUGUGUGAAGAAGGUCUUCGGAUUGUAAAGCACUUUAAGUUGGGAGGAAGGGCAGUAAGUUAAUACCUUGUUGUUUUGACGUUACCAACAGAAUAAGCACCGGCUAACUUCGUG